rnacentral:rRNA from 1 species
GUCGAGCGGGCGAGGUUGCUUCGGUAACUGAGCUAGCGGCGGACGGGUGAGUAAUGCUUAGGAAUCUGCCUAUUAGUGGGGGACAACAUUCCGAAAGGAAUGCUAAUACCGCAUACGCCCUACGGGGGAAAGCAGGGGAUCUUCGGACCUUGCGCUAAUAGAUGAGCCUAAGUCAGAUUAGCUAGUUGGUGGGGUAAAGGCCUACCAAGGCGACGAUCUGUAGCGGGUCUGAGAGGAUGAUCCGCCACACUGGGACUGAGACACGGCCCAGACUCCUACGGGAGGCAGCAGUGGGGAAUAUUGGACAAUGGGCGCAAGCCUGAUCCAGCCAUGCCGCGUGUGUGAAGAAGGCCUUUUGGUUGUAAAGCACUUUAAGCGAGGAGGAGGCUACUUGGAUUAAUACUCUAGGAUAGUGGACGUUACUCGCAGAAUAAGCACCGGCUAACUCUGUGCCAGCAGCCGCGGUAAUACAGAGGGUGCGAGCGUUAAUCGGAUUUACUGGGCGUAAAGCGUGCGUAGGCGGCUUCUUAAGUCGGAUGUGAAAUCCCUGAGCUUAACUUAGGAAUUGCAUUCGAUACUGGGAAGCUAGAGUAUGGGAGAGGAUGGUAGAAUUCCAGGUGUAGCGGUGAAAUGCGUAGAGAUCUGGAGGAAUACCGAUGGCGAAGGCAGCCAUCUGGCCUAAUACUGACGCUGAGGUAC